rnacentral:rRNA from 1 species
CCUACGGGUGGCAGCAGUGAGGAAUAUUGGUCAAUGGACGAAAGUCUGAACCAGCCAUGCCGCGUGCAGGAAGAAGGCUCUAUGAGUUGUAAGCUGCUUUUGUACGAAGGUAAACCUGAAUACGUGUAUUCAGCUGAAAGUACUUUACGAAUAAGGAUCGGCUAACUCCAUGCCAGCAGCCGCGGUAAUACGGAGGAUCCAAGCGUUAUCCGGAUUUAUUGGGUUUAAAGGGUUCGUAGGCGGAUUGAUAAGUUAGAGGUGAAAUGUCCGAGCUUAACCCGGGAACUGCCUUGAAUACUGGUGAUCUAGAGAGUAGAUGCGGUAGGCGGAAUGUAUGGUGUAGCGGUGAAAUGCUUAGAGAUCAGACAGAACACCGAUUGCGAAGGCAGCUUACCAAUCUAUAUCUGACGUUGAGGCACGAAAGCGUGGGGAGCAAACAGGAUUAGAUACCCUUGUAGUC